ensembl:snoRNA SNORD123 small nucleolar RNA, C/D box 123
GGUGAAAAUGAUGAACCGUGGGGCGCUGAUUUCAUGUGACUUGAAAAACGCCAUCCAUUUCCUGAUUCACC